AUCAGGUAGGGAUACCCGCUGAACUUAAGCAUAUCAAUAAGCGGAGGAAAAGAAACCAACAGGGAUUGCCUCAGUAACGGCGAGUGAAGCGGCAAGAGCUCAAAUUUGAAAGCUGGCUCCUUCGGGGUCCGCAUUGUAAUUUGCAGAGGAUGUUUCGGAAGCAGCCCCCAUCUAAGUGUCCUGGAACGGACCGUCAUAGAGGGUGAGAAUCCCGUAUGGGAUGGGGUGUCUGCGUCCAUGUGAAACUCCUUCGACGAGUCGAGUUGUUUGGGAAUGCAGCUCUAAAUGGGUGGUAAAUUUCAUCUAAAGCUAAAUAUUGGCCGGAGACCGAUAGCGCACAAGUAGAGUGAUCGAAAGAUGAAAAGCACUUUGAAAAGAGAGUUAAAAAGCACGUGAAAUUGUUGAAAGGGAAGCGCUUGCGAUCAGACUCGCCUUGGGGGUUCAGCCGGCAUUCGUGCCGGUGUACUUCCCCCAGGGCGGGCCAGCGUCGGUUUGGGUGGCUGGUCAAAGGCCCUUGGAAUGUAACGCCUCUCGGGGCGUCUUAUAGCCAAGGGUGCCAUGCAGCCUACCUGGACCGAGGAACGCGCUUCGGCUCGGACGCUGGCAUAAUGGUCGUAAGCGACC
rnacentral:rRNA from 1 species